GCUCAGGAUGAACGCUGGCGGCGUGCUAAUACAUGCAAGUCGAACGAGUUCUGAUUAUUGAAAGGUGCUUGCAUCUUGAUUUAAUUUUGAACGAGUGGCGGACGGGUGAGUAACACGUGGGUAACCUGCCCUUAAGUGGGGGAUAACAUUUGGAAACAGAUGCUAAUACCGCAUAAAUCCAAGAACCGCAUGGUUCUUGGCUGAAAGAUGGCGUAAGCUAUCGCUUUUGGAUGGACCCGCGGCGUAUUAGCUAGUUGGUGAGGUAACGGCUCACCAAGGCAAUGAUACGUAGCCGAACUGAGAGGUUGAUCGGCCACAUUGGGACUGAGACACGGCCCAAACUCCUACGGGAGGCAGCAGUAGGGAAUCUUCCACAAUGGACGCAAGUCUGAUGGAGCAACGCCGCGUGAGUGAAGAAGGCUUUCGGGUCGUAAAACUCUGUUGUUGGAGAAGAAUGGUCGGCAGAGUAACUGUUGUCGGCGUGACGGUAUCCAACCAGAAAGCCACGGCUAACUACGUGCCAGCAGCCGCGGUAAUACGUAGGUGGCAAGCGUUAUCCGGAUUUAUUGGGCGUAAAGCGAGCGCAGGCGGUUUUUUAAGUCUGAUGUGAAAGCCCUCGGCUUAACCGAGGAAGUGCAUCGGAAACUGGGAAACUUGAGUGCAGAAGAGGACAGUGGAACUCCAUGUGUAGCGGUGAAAUGCGUAGAUAUAUGGAAGAACACCAGUGGCGAAGGCGGCUGUCUGGUCUGUAACUGACGCUGAGGCUCGAAA
rnacentral:rRNA from 1 species